CACUCCUGCGGGAGGCAGCAGUGGGGAAUUUUGGACAAUGGGCGAAAGCCUGAUCCAGCAAUGCCGCGUGAGUGAAGAAGGCCUUCGGGUUGUAAAGCUCUUUUGUCAGGGAAGAAACGGUGAAAGCUAAUAUCUUUUGCUAAUGACGGUACCUGAAGAAUAAGCACCGGCUAACUACGUGCCAGCAGCCGCGGUAAUACGUAGGGUGCAAGCGUUAAUCGGAAUUACUGGGCGUAAAGCGUGCGCAGGCGGUUUUGUAAGUCUGAUGUGAAAUCCCCGGGCUCAACCUGGGAAUUGCAUUGGAGACUGCAAGGCUAGAAUCUGGCAGAGGGGGGUAGAAUUCCACGUGUAGCAGUGAAAUGCGUAGAUAUGUGGAGGAACACCGAUGGCGAAGGCAGCCCCCUGGGUCAAGAUUGACGCUCAUGCACGAAAGCGUGGGGAGCAAACAGGAUUAGAUACCCUGGUAGUCCCA
rnacentral:rRNA from 1 species